rnacentral:rRNA from 1 species
GCUUAACGCGAAGAACCUUACCUACUCUUGACAUCCAGAGAACUUAGCAGAGAUGCUUUGGUGCCUUCGGGAACUCUGAGACAGGUGCUGCAUGGCUGUCGUCAGCUCGUGUUGUGAAAUGUUGGGUUAAGUCCCGCAACGAGCGCAACCCUUAUCCUUUGUUGCCAGCGGUUAGGCCGGGAACUCAAAGGAGACUGCCAGUGAUAAACUGGAGGAAGGUGGGGAUGACGUCAAGUCAUCAUGGCCCUUACGAGUAGGGCUACACACGUGCUACAAUGGCAUAUACAAAGAGAAGCGACCUCGCGAGAGCAAGCGGACCUCAUAAAGUAUGUCGUAGUCCGGAUUGGAGUCUGCAACUCGACUCCAUGAAGUCGGAAUCGCUAGUAAUCGUGGAUCAGAAUGCCACGGUGAAUACGUUCCCGGGUCUUGUACACACCGGGGGUCUUGUACACACCGGGGUUCUUGGUACA